AGCCAGAUCCACGCCUCGGUUCCCAGGAAAUCCCAUUGAAACACAAUGGAACAACUCAUGUGUCCAUCCCUCGCCAGGGUGGAGAGAGCUGCACAAUCUGCCCUACAGGUUUGCUGUCUGGGUUGGAACCACGGGCGCAUCGCUGGGCAGUUCCGAGUGUGGUUCUCAAUCUCAUACUGACCACGCUCCUCCUCCUCCUCAUCAUCAUCUCCAUCAUGGCACUGCCAGCAAAGAAACCUGAGCCGUGUCCAGCUGGUGCUGCCUGCCCAGUGGCCGCCUGCCCAGACGGCUGGGUCGGGUACCUGGGGAAGUGUUACUAUUUCUCACAGGCCGAAGGGAACUGGACCUACAGCCAGAGCCACUGCUCUUCACUUAACGCCUCCCUGGUUGUGAUUGACACCCAGCAGGAAAUGGUGAGACCCAGAUUCUGGGCUGCA